GAAUCUGUAAUGCUAUUCUUGGCUUCACCUUUCACUUCCCCAAGGAGAAAACCUUCCUAUGGAUAAAAAUAAGAAGUGAAAACAAAAGGAAUGUUUCCACAAUGUGAGUGUCUACUGGACAAAAAGAGGACCAAUCCAGAAUUCUACACUCUAGUACUCUAGACAAGUUCCGGGAAAGGAAGCAAGGACAAUGCAAGUAUAAUUACCUAGAAGAUCACUGUUUAAAGACUAUAGGAAAAAGAUCUAAGAAACAGGGGCCUAAUAUUAUGGUACUUUCCAUGGGGUAAUUAUGCUAGAGGACUUAAGGACUCACUCUGUUUAUAUUUACAUUAAGACAUUCCAAAAUAAUUUCCGCAGAUGCAUACA